AUUGAACGCUGGCGGCAGGCCUAACACAUGCAAGUCGAACGGUAACAGGGAUCAGCUUGCUGAUUCGCUGACGAGUGGCGGACGGGUGAGUAAUGUCUGGGAAACUGCCUGAUGGAGGGGGAUAACUACUGGAAACGGUAGCUAAUACCGCAUAACGUCGCAAGCCCAAAGAGGGGGACCUUCGGGCCUCUUGCCAUCGGAUGUGCCCAGGUGGGAUUAGCUAGUAGGUGGGGUAACGGCUCACCUAGGCGACGAUCCCUAGCUGGUCUGAGAGGAUGACCAGCCACACUGGAACUGAGACACGGUCCAGACUCCUACGGGAGGCAGCAGUGGGGAAUAUUGCACAGUGGGCGCAAGCCUGAUGCAGCCAUGCCGCGUGUAUGAAGAAGGCCUUCGGGUUGUAAAGUACUUUCAGCGGGGAGGAAGGGAGUAAAGUUAAUACCUUUGCUCAUUGACGUUACCCGCAGAAGAAGCACCGGCUAACUCCGUG
rnacentral:rRNA from 1 species